GACGAACGCUGGCGGCGUGCUUAACACAUGCAAGUCGAGCGGAGCGGCGAACGGGUGAGUAACGGGUGAGUAACUGACCCCCUCUCUGGGAACACAGUUGCAAACGGCUGCUAAUACCGGAACGUGUGGGAUGACUCGCGUGCUAGUAGCUUGUUGGUGGGGUAGUGGCUUACCAAGGCGACGACGGGUAGCCGGCCUGAGAGGGCGACCGGCCCCAUGGGGCUGGGGUAGGACCCAUAGUGCUACGGGAGGCAUCGGUGGAGAAUAUUGCACAAGGGGGGAAACGCUGAUGGAGCAACGCCGCGUGCGGAAGGACGGCUUGCGGGUUGUAAACUGCUUUCAGCCAUGACGCGGUAGUUGCAGAAGAAGCAACGGCUAACUACGUGCCAGCAGCCGCGGUAAUAC
rnacentral:rRNA from 1 species